AGAAAAAGGAUACCCCGUCGGCUCCGGACCCGGCAAAUGUACCUGGGCUCCCCCUGGAGGCCACAUUCUCCGAGGUCGCCUUUCGGUCCCCAAUGUUCCUCAAAGGUAUUCCGUUGUAAUCCCGGAGAACUGAUACACACUAGUGCUCUGAAACUUGGCCUGUGCUCGAGGCGGCAACCCCUGCCCCUCUGCCUGGCGAUGCCGGAACACACCCAUCUGGCCAGGUCCUGUUCACUGGCCAAGAAUGCAGCAUUGAACACUGGGCAUUGGGGCGGGGGUGCACUCUGCGCUGACACCGCACCCCUCCCCUCAACUUGCUGACUAGAGGUAAUCGCUUCCUUUCAUCGAUUCACAGCGUUAGAAAAAUGCAGCAUUGAGAGGCAGCGCGGAGGUCAACUGGACCAUCACCCUUAGGUUGUAGGGAAGAAAACUGAGACCUAGAAAGGUGAAGCGGUUGUCCCAAAGGCUUCCAGCUGCUCCCAGUACUCAAGGACUUGGAGCACACUUGGGGAAAUGCUCACUGUUGUAUUCCCGUUCCUCACUAUCCAGGAGGCCUGAACUCUCAAACUCCGAAUCUGAUUUCCACUCUCCCAGGAAGUCUUCGGAAAUCACUGUGGAUUGUCAAUACAGGAGUCCAUACUGACUGAAUCCCUAAUUUUGGCCUGUAUUCUUCUCCCUCUGUGAACCAUCUUCUUAGAAGUCACUGAACCAAGAGUGCCAGAAAACCAUCCCAAGACUCACACAGAGUUGUUCUUCCAUAGUGGAUGUUUUGGCCACUGGACAUCAGAACCACAUUUUGGGUUUGAAGAAUCUUCUACAUGGUGAGCCUUGGUGGGAAGAAAAGAAUAUCCCUUCCUUAUAGAAGCUGAAAUUACAGACUCUUGCUUUCCUUGUCAGACUUAAAAGCUAGUGUAGCCAGAGUUAAAUACAGGGCACAUUGUCUCUGGAGGCUGCAGCUUUAGUGGUGGGUACACAGUUCAGUUCCUGACCCAGGAAGUGGCACAUCAGGGCAGGCAGUGGUGUUGGUUGUGGUAUAAUUGAGUUCCUGGUUCAGAAGUGACAACUGUACACAUGAGUUGUCUAGGGUUUGGUGAAAGCAAUGGUAUUGAAAGUGGUUUUCUCAUCAAAUUAGUUCCUGAGUCAUGUGUCGGACACUGUUUCUAUCUUGAGCAGCUUCUCUAGCCUUUCUAAAUCCUGUGACCUGCCUGUGAUCCUUUUAAGAUUUCUUUCUGUUUAAUCAGCCACAAACAGCUUCUGUUGCUUGCAACCCAGGCUCCUGAGAAGAGACUGGAGAAGCAGAUCACUUUAUUAAUGUGCUUCAUGUAGAGGGAGUAGAGAUUUCCACCUCUACCAUACCCAAAUAACUGGUAUUGGCUGUACCUUUCUAAUGUGAGCAACUUUAAAAUUGAACAGAAUAUAUGAAACCUCUCUUUUCAGACAUUGAACAGCAUGUAGCACAGCACCGUGAUUCCUGAAAGUAGGGAACAAAUGGGGCAAACCCUAUCACUCUAACUUUCUGCUGAAAAAUGCUGUCUAAAUUGCAGCACAAUGAGGGGGAACCCAAGCAGAGCAUAGUGGUCUUGCUGAGUUGAGGAGAUAGUUGAGCAGACUUUUCAAGGCAGAGUAUCAGAAAGGAGAGAAUAUAACAGCAAAACAGGCUCCUGGAAUCCCUGUGAAUCUGUUGCUGAAUACUAAGCUGCACAUGCAUAAGGUGAAACUUCACAGUGCGAUGCAAAGAACUACUGCGGAGCUGUGAGCUGAUUGGUUCCCAGGGCUCACUGGGCAAUGUUUGAGUUUCAACUCGCCAAUGUGAAGAAACCUUGCUGACUGUCCAGGGAAUUCAGUAGAAAUCCCAAAAGGGUAAGGCAUUAGGAGAAGGGCUAACUAAGCCGAAAAGUGAGGUAACUCUAGACUUCCUCCAACAAGGUUUAGAAAGCAGCCUCAAAAAGAGGAAGUUCAUCCGCUACUACCGUAACUGCCAGCCAAAACAAAUUUUACCAUUUUUAAAACAACAAAAUACAGACAUUUAACAACAUUAAAUUCAGAAUGUUAAAAAUACUAGAUAUGCAAAUAAGUAGGCAAAUAGAACCCAAAAUCAGGAGAAAAAUCAUUUAAUAGAAACAAACCCCAAAAUGACAGAGAUAAUAACGUUAGCAGACAAGGACUUAAAAAAUUAAAAUAAAACAAGGAUUUAAAGGAAAACAUGAACAUAGUGAAGAAAAAACUGGAAGAUAUAGAAAAUAACCAAAUGGAACUUCUGGAGCUAAAAAAUACAACACCUGUAAUGAAUAAUUCAGUGGCUGAACUUAACAGUAGGUUAGACAUUGUGGAAUG
rnacentral:lncRNA from 1 species